rnacentral:rRNA from 1 species
UUCGCAAUGCCCGAAAGGGUGACGAAGCGACGCCGCGUGGGUGAGGAAGGCCUUCGGGUUGUAAAACCCUGUCAGGAGUUAUGAAAUGUAAGUGCGCUAAUAUCGUGCUUAUUUGACAAAGGCUCCAAAGGAAGCCACGGCUAACUCUGUGCCAGCAGCCGCGGUAAUACAGAGGUGGCAAGCGUUGUUCGGAAUUAUUGGGCGUAAAGAGCACGUAGGUGGAUUUGUAAGUCAGAUGUGAAAGCCUUCUGUUCAACGGAAGAAUUGCAUCUGAAACUACAAACCUUGAGUGUAGGAGGGGAGAAUGGAACUUCUGGUGGAGCGGUGAAAUGCGUAGAUAUCAGAAGGAACGCCGGCGGCGAAAGCGAUUCUCUGGCCUAUUACUGACACUCAGUGUGCGAAAGCUAGGGGAGCAAACGGGAUUAGAUACCCCGGUAGUCCUAGCCGUGAACGAUGGGCACUAAGUAGAGGGGUUUUA